rnacentral:rRNA from 1 species
CACGUAGGGUGCGAGCGUUGUCCGGAAUUAUUGGGCGUAAAGAGCUCGUAGGCGGUGUGUCGCGUCGGCCGUGAAAACCUGCAGCUUAACUGUGGGCGUGCGGUCGAUACGGGCAUCACUGGAGUUCGGCAGGGGAGACUGGAAUUCCUGGCGUAGCGGUGAAAUGCGCAGAUAUCAGGAGGAACACCGGUGGCGAAGGCGGGUCUCUGGGCCGAUACUGACGCUGAGGAGCGAAAGCGUGGGGAGCGAACAGG